rnacentral:tRNA from 1 species
GCCGGGGUAGCCUAGCCCGGGCAAGGCGGUGGCUUCGAGAGCCACUGGGCGUUACAGCCCACAGGAGUUCGAAUCUCCUCCCCGGCG